AGCCGCUAAUUUUAGAUCGACUCCCGUGCUUCCAGGAGUCGACUCGGCGAAUCGGCAGCUGGUGAAUUCGACGAGCUGCUGCCUCGCGCGUGCACGUGGGUCCGGUAUACAAUGCGUGUCGCGCAGCGUCCACCGGUCAUCCCCCUUCUCUCGUCUUGGAGAAGGCCGACGUGUCCGAUCGUCCUGGUCCAGAUGUAUCUCGCGAUCCCGCUCCCCUCGAGACACGCGGCCACGAUCGAUCAAAAAAGUCUUGCGUGUCGUGAAGAAGUUGCGUUGAGGCAUUGAGUGCCGAAUUUCAAUGUUUCCUUCUUCUAUAAAUUAAAAUGCCCGCAGAGUUAGAACACGUCAGCGAGAAGAACCGGAAACGGAGCGGAGACUUUGAAAAGCGUCAGAGAGAGAGAACCGCGGGUAGAAACGCAUCCGAGACGCAUCCUUUCGCUUCCGACGUGAAAAGGGGAAAUGAACGCGUGCACGAACGUUCCUUUGAGCGCGCGAACCGAGGCGGCAGGGGGUAAACGGGAGAUCUGGUGGCGGCUGGUGCAGCGGAUGUUUGAAGCCGAAGAAAGCGAGGCGGUGGUUCCUGUCGUGGCUUCCCUUGCGCUUCGUCUCCGCUACCGCUGCCUCUCGCGGUCCCUCGCGAUCCUCCUUUUCUCGGUCAGCGUAGGAGGCACACCAUUUCGGCGGAUGUGAUGUUUAGGACAAGAACCACCCCGCGACUGACAAAAAGCCCCGGCGCAGUAUAAAUAGGCGGUGGUUGUUGCCACCGCGGUCGGCGGUCGUAAACUGAUAUCACGCGCUUUUGACCCACAUAACUCGGAUUGAUUGUUUGUGAAACGACGAGCGAUCGGUCUUUUUCCCGGCGUCUUUGAAGAAUGGAUCCUCGACGGAAGGAAAUGAGGAUGAUCGCGUCAGUCAAGGAAUUCGUUGAAUGAACUUUAGUCGAAUGAUCUUUCAUUAUACAUAUAUACAUAUAUUAUUUGCUAAAUAAAAAAAAAACAAUUAAA